ACACAACAUCCAACAUAAAGCUCAUGGAUCAAGGAGUAAUUUCAACUUUCUAAUUUUAUUAUUUAAGUAACACCUUUUUGUAACUCUAUAGCUGCCAUAAAUAGUGAUUUAUCUGAUGAAUCUGGUUAAAGUAAAUUGAAAACCUCCUGGAAAGAAUUCGUAGUUCAAGAUGCCAUUAAGAACAUUUGUGAUUAAUGGGAGUAGGUCAAAAUAUCAACAAGAAUAAGAGUUUGGAAGAAGCUGGUUCCAUCCCUCAUGGAUGAUAUUGAGGGAUUCAAGACUUCUUUGGAGUAAGUCACGGCAGAUGUGGUGAAAAUAGCAAGAGAACUAGGAUUAGAAGUGGACCCUAAAGAUGGAGCUGAAUUUCUCUGAUCUCAUGAUAAAGCAUUAACAGCUGAGGAGUUGCUUCUUAUGAACUAGCCAAGAAAGUCAUUUCUUGUGUUGGAAUCUAUUCCUGGAGAAGAUGCUGUGAACAUUGUUGAAAUGACAGCAAAUAAUUUGGAAUAUUACAUAAGCUUAUUUGAUAAAGCAAUGGCAUGUUUGAAGAAUAUCAAAUGUAAUUCAGAAAGAAGUUUUACUGUGGUAAAAUGCGAUCAACUAGCAUGACAUCCCACAGAGAAAUCUCUUUCCUGAAAGAGUCAAUCAAUACGGCAAACUCUAUUAUUGUCUUAUUUUAAGAAAUUGCUACAGCCACCCCAACUUUCAGCAACCACCACCCACAUCAGUUAGCAGCCAUCAACAUCAAGUCAUGAUCUUUCACCAAAAAAAAAGAUUACGACUUUGCUGAAGGCUCAGAUGAUUGUGUGUUUUUUUUUUUUUUUGGAAUAAAGUUCUUCUAAUUAAGGUAUGUACAUUGUUUACUUAGAUGUAAUGCUACUGUACACUUAAUUUAUAGUAUAUUGUAAACAUAACUUCUAUAUGCACUGAGAAACCAGAAAUUUAUGUGACUCACUUUGUGGAUAUAUUCACUUUAUUAUAGUGGUAUGGAAUUAAGACUACAGUAUCUCAGAGGUGUGCCUGUAUUUACAUAUGUGUGGACAGAGUAAGGCACUAUGGUUUGAAUACUUGUGUCCCCUCUGAAAUCCAUGUUGAAACUUCAUCCCCAAUGCAACACUAUUAAGAAGUGUGGCCUUUGAGAGGUGAUUUGGUCAUGAAGGCUCUGCCCUCAUUAGUGCUCUUAUAAAAGGGCUAGAGAGAACUAGCUCAGCCCCCUUUUCACUUCCACCCUUCUGCCAUGUCAGGACACAACACUUGUUUCCUCUGGAGGAACCAGCAGCAAGGUGCCAUCUUGGAAGCAGUGAACAGGCUUUCAGCAGACACCAAACCCACUAGUGCCCUGGUCUUGGACUUCCACCCUCUAGAACUCCCAGGGUAACCAGCAGCUGAAAUCACAAGAACUUAUCUACCAGCCCACAACAUAAUUUACUUCAUUAGAAAGUUUUCCACAAGCUGGCAUUGGAAACUUGGGCUUUAGAAGUGAAAGAAAUCAAUUUAUCCCCUGCUCUGAGCCAUCCUGCCUUACGUGGCUGAUUUCUAAACCACCACACAGGCCUUGUUACAUUCUCCCUGCCGAGCAUCCUUCCAACUUGUGUAUAAUAAGGAGAUGAAGUUGAAAGAAGACGUCAAUGAACAUAGUAGUUUUUUUAAUCUAAAAAAUACAAACAGGCUUUAAAAGACCAUAUGUAAGUCUUCUUUAGUUUCCAAACCACAAUAGAUGUACUAGGCAUGAUUAUUCUAAGGUCCCUGCAAUAAAUGAAAUCCGAGGUAGUUCCAACAAAUGAUGAAUUCAUGGUGGAAAAAUAAUUUCACUCAUUUGCUGUCUUAUCAUAGGUUUUGUUUUCUCUCCAAAAAAUACAUAGUUGGGGUGAGGGGGCAAUACAGAAAAAAAAGAAACGGGGGAUGAUUGCAUUGUUUACAAAGCAAAAAGGAAAUUAUUUGGUUCUGUGAAUGCAAAAUGUUUUGACAGUAUUUCCGAUUUUGCAGGACAUCUGGUGUAGAUGAUAUCGAGGGCAUUAGAAGUAAAUAGCUAAAUUCUGUUAUUAGUUCUGUUACUAUUCUACCAUAUGGAAAUAUUUUUAUUUUUCCCCUCAGUUUAAUUCAUUGUUGACUUGGGAGAGAAAAAAUCCAAUUAAAAAUGACAUGUGAACUGCUUGUCACCCAACUCUUGGUUGCCUAACAUUGUGGCCUAUUUUUUGUAUAGAGACCCAGUUCUUGAAUUAGCCUCUAUAAAUAUGUUUCCAUGUAUUGGCUUGAAUUUUGUAUAGAAAUCAGAGUUGUAAAAAAUUAAAGGUCUGGAAGACUCAGUCUUGUUAAAAUGUCAAUUCACUCCAAAUUAAUUUAUGUAUAGGUUCAGUGCAAACCUAAUAAAAAUCUUAGUAAGUUGUUUUGUGGAUAAUGACAAGCUGAUUCUAAAACUCAUAUUUAAAAGCAAAGAAACCUCAAUAGCCAAAGCAAUUUUGAUAAAAUAACAAAGAUAGAACCCUCACACUACAUAAUUUCAAGACUUACUGUGAAGCCACGUUAAUCAAGACAGCAUGGUGUUGGUGAACGCAUGAAUCAAACUGAUGGGGUCUAGACUCAAUGACUUCCCAAUAAUAAUGAACAAACCUACAGCCCAGAUAUCUGUUUCUAAAUGCCAUUUUACAGUAGAAGAAACCAGACCUCCUUGUAGAAUUAGUUGAAUCCCAGGACGGGACAGGGAAAACUUAAGAUAAGCCUAGAGCAUCUAGUGGUGCCAGAAAGUAAGGAAGUGCUCAAAAAAGAAUGGGGGCAUGUCCAAAGCUCACAGGAGCCAACAUGAAAGAGCUCCCAAUGUCCCAAGUCUGAGCAAGUUAAUGAUAGAUUAUUUUUAUCAAGAGAAUACAAUAAGCAUCCAUGAGUCUAUGACAUAAAGAAAUGAAUGAAUGAAUGAAUGGGAGAUAACAGCUCUCCCAAUGAAUAAAUGUAGAAAGAAGAUGGAAAUAUGAAUUCACCAAUAGAAUGCCACAGUAAUAAUUGUUGCAGGCAAGAUGUACCAACGAAAGCCAAAAUUCGUGGGUAAAACUUUGAGGAUAAAGAUUAUAUGUGCCUAGUGCAAAAUUAUCUCCUUCAAGAUACCCAUUAAUUGCUAAAGGAAAAAUAGUAAUUUUAAAAAUGGAAACACCUGGCAGAUGCCAUCUCAGCCAAGUGAUCAAGAUUAACAUCACCAGUAAAAAGACAUACUGACAUCCCAUACUUCCUGAUUUGAUACACUAAGAAGGGCUUAUCGUUUCUGUGGUACUCUUGGCCAACAAUGCGCAAGUAACAUUUAUUCAUUGAAACACAUUAGGCAGAACCAAAUUGCAGGACAUUCCUCAAAAUAGCUGUGCAAUACUCUUCAAAAGUGUCAGAUCCUGGAAGACAAAGAGAUACUGAGGAACCAUCACAGAGUGGGAGAGGACAUGGAGACAUAAAAACUAACUGUAAUGUGGAAUCCUACAUUGGAUCAUGGACCAGAAAGAGAACACUGAUGGGAAGACUGAUGAAAUCUGAGUAAGUCUGUAGUUUGGUUUAGAGAAUAAUAAUAAUAACAAUAACGGUUUAGGUGCUGACUCCUUAAUAAAAUUCCCCUAGUUACUGUAAUGUCUAAAAAUGAAGCCCCCAUGGUGGGCUACUGUGACUAUUCACUGCAUUUAAGAAUAAAGAAUAAUUAAGGAUGUGUGAAUAGAUGGUAAUAAGUUAAUAACUCAGAUGGUGCUGCUAAUACAUAACAACCCAAGGAGACAGCAUCAUGUAACGAAAAUAUUUUCACACUUCAUAAUCUAUUGAACUCCUCUCUGUUUCUCUCUGGCCUCCCAAUCUGUUGUUCUCUCUCUUUUUCUUUCCAUCUGUCUCUUUCUUUCUCUCCCCCUCUACUUUUACUCAUACUUCUGCAUUAUGUUCAUAUACAGUAUAGAACUGAAGUAUAUUUUUAAGUAACUGAUAUUGUUAUCAAGUCCCAGAGCUUCUCUACUGAAGCUUUUAAAGAGUUUCUGUCUUCCAAAAUAAAAAGCUAAAGCUGCAUUGUGGUGAUUGUUCUUCCAUGUAAGUCUUAAAUUGAUAUAGCAUGUGUGAGAUUACUGGCUCUUGGUAGGAAAUGUUUUCUUCUCUAUGGCAAAAAUCUUAGAAGUCCAUUCAGAAUGAUGCUGUCAGAAUGUAUUUUCAUGGGAUGCUUUGAAAUAGACAAAAAAAAAAAAAAAAAAACAGCACACAGCACACAAAGAUUUUAUUCUUUAACAUUGUAAAUCAACUCAGUUUUUACCUUCUUGUUCAUAAUCAUGGUGCAAUGUAAUACAAUAUAUAGAUGGCCAGUUAAAAUAGGAGUAAUUUCAAAAUUUGAUCAUUCUUUUUCAUAGAAGAGUACAAUUUUUACUUGCAAAAAAAAGAGUUAAUCAAAUUUUGUUACAUUUCCUUCUCCAUCUCCACUACAUUUUCAGAAAAAAAAAACAAAUUAUAUUGAUUGCUAAUAUGGUACAGAUUAGACAGACAAGAGGUGCUCCUUGAGUUAGCUACCCCAUAAUUUAUUAAAAAAUUAAUUUCAAAUGGAGCUUGAGCACUUUCAAAAUCUGGCUGUCAUCCUAAAUACCUUCUCUGGGGGAUGCAAACUGUUAUUUUUGUUUUAUUUUGCUAUUAAUUUCCUUAGUUGAAUUACCUCUAAUUUAGCUCAGAGAGAGUCUGAUCAAAAAAGAUCAUAAAGAUGAAGAAAGAUAGGAACCUAUGCUUAGAAAGUGAAAUCAAAUACUAUAUAGCAUUUCUCAAAUAUAUUAGGCUUCCUAAUCUAUUUUUCAUUCGCUUCCCAAUUCUGCUUAUAUCUAGCCCUGGACAGAAGUGAACACCAAAUAUAGGAAAAGAGAGUAAACUCCAGGUGUGUGCACAGCCAUCAGUCACGAUUGAAGCACAGAAAUGAAACGUAAUUAGAAACUCUUGGAUGGAAGAGAGUUAUAAAAUACAGCUAUGAGAUAAAAAGUAAAAAUUAGAAGGUCAGUGGGUUUUCAAAACAAAUAUAGUAGAUUCUAAGUGACAUUUUAUAUAACAAAUAACUCAGUGGAAUGGUAGAACAUUAUUUGGAAUAUGCUGGGGAUUGCAUAUAUCUUGCACUUCACAAAAAAUAAAAAAGACAACCAGAAUGCCAGAGAAUAAUUUUUUUAAAACCCACCAAAAUGUAUACAAGAAAGGAAUGAACCAAAUAUAAAGUAGAUCAAAACAUUACAUUAUUUUGAUCAAUUGUGAAGAAUAAAAAUCAGAAUCUGUUUUGGCAUUCUUCUUUCAUUGGCCAGUAAAUUGUGGCUUUAAAACUACAAAACUAAGGUCAGGCGCGGUGACAUGCUAUUGAGUCCCAGCUACUCAGGAGACUGAGGUGAGAGAAUUGCUUGAAGCCAGGGAUUUUAAUCCAUCCUGGGCAACACAGCAAGAUUCUGGCUCUACUAAAACUAAAACAACUAUACUACUACUACUUGAUGAUUCAGUAAAUAAUAUUUAACGUAGUCAAGUAAUAUAAAUACUGAUUUUCAAUUUUUGGGAACAAGGGUGAAUCAAUCAUGAAAUGCUUACUAAUGAAAACAAAACAAAAUGUAAACCUGAUUAAUCUUGACCAUGUAAAAGUACAGCUGAGAGCAGGUGGCCCAGACAGUUAUGCUGUUCACAGACUUGAAGUUGAAGGGUACUGGGCUAGUCUCCUUGGGCAGAAGACCAGUUUGACGAGAGCUUUAAAAUGUCUGUAGUGUCUGAGUUAGGAAUCCUCUUUUAGGAAUGGAUAACUGGAUGUUCAAAAGUUUACGCAUGGGAACCUGAGGAUGGUCAUCACAGCAUUAUUUGCAUUAGUAAGAAAAAAGGUAACAAUGUCAAUGUGCAAACAAUAGAAAAUGCUUAAAUGAAUUGACAUAUCUGUACAAUAAUAUAUAACAUUAAAAUGGUAAAUUUUAAUGAUUUGGGAAAUAUUUGUAAUACAAUAUUGCUCAAAUAAAUUAGCUGAAUGGGACUCUAUUUCCAUGUCAUAGACUGGGUGGCUUAAACAACAGAGAUUUACUUCCCAUAAUCCUAGAGACUGGAAAGGCCAAAAUGAAAGUGCUUUCAGAUUCGGUUUCUGGUGAGGGCUCUCUCCCUGGCUUGUAGACAGCACUGUGUGCUCACAUGGCAGAGGCCAACUGAGUGAGCUCUGCCUUCUCUUCCUUUUCUAAUAAGGACAAUAAUCCCAUCAUGGGGCCCUACCUUAUGACUUUAUCUAAACCUAAUCACUUCCCUAGGAACCCAGCUCCAAAUACCAUCACAUUGGGGGUUACAGUUUCAACAUAUAAAUUUUGGGGGGGCACAAAC